AUCCAGCUGACGAGUCCUAAAUAAAACGAAAUAUGAGUUUUGGAU
rfam:Schistosoma haematobium scaffold75_5, whole genome shotgun sequence.